rnacentral:rRNA from 1 species
UGCAAGUCGAACGGCAGCACAGUAAGAGCUUGCUCUUAUGGGUGGCGAGUGGCGGACGGGUGAGGAAUACAUCGGAAUCUACUUUUUCGUGGGGGAUAACGUAGGGAAACUUACGCUAAUACCGCAUACGACCUUCGGGUGAAAGCAGGGGACCUUCGGGCCUUGCGCGAUUGAAUGAGCCGAUGUCGGAUUAGCUAGUUGGCGGGGUAAAGGCCCACCAAGGCGACGAUCCGUAGCUGGUCUGAGAGGAUGAUCAUCCACACUGGAACUGAGACACGGUCCAGACUCCUACGGGAGGCAG